UACGUAGGGUGCGAGCGUUAAUCGGAAUUACUGGGCGUAAAGCGUGCGCAGGCGGUUUUGUAAGACAGGUGUGAAAUCCCCGGGCUUAACCUGGGAACUGCGCUUGUGACUGCAAGACUCGAGUACGGCAGAGGGGGGUAGAAUUCCACGUGUAGCAGUGAAAUGCGUAGAGAUGUGGAGGAAUACCGAUGGCGAAGGCAGCCCCCUGGGUCGAUACUGACGCUCGUGCACGAAAGCGUGGGGAGCAAACAGG
rnacentral:rRNA from 1 species